GUAGUUAGCCGGGGCUUCUUCUGCGGGUACCGUCGAUGUCGUCCCCGCCGAAAGCGGUCUGCGGCCCGAGGGCCUUCCUCCCGCACGCGGCGUCGCUGCGUCAGGGUUUCCCCCAUUGCCCAAUAUUCCCCACUGCUGCCUCCCGUAGGAGUCUGGACCGUGUCUCAGUUCCAGUGUGGCCGAUCAGCCUCUCAGCUCGGCUACCCAUCGUCGACUUGGUGGGCCGUUACCCCGCCAACUAUCUAAUGGGACGCGAACCCCUCCCUCUGCGGAUUGCUCCUUUGACCUCAUCCCGAUGCCGGGUCGUGGUCUUAUGCGGUAUUAGCACUUGUUUCCAGGUGUUAUCCCCCUCAGAAGGUCAGGUUGUUCACGCGUUACUCACCCGUUCGCCACUUGGUGUAAAACCGAAAUCUUACACCCCGUUCGACUUGCAUGUGUUAGGCACGCCGCCAGCGUUCGUCCUGAGCCAUAAUCAAACUCUGA
rnacentral:rRNA from 1 species